rnacentral:tRNA from 1 species
GGCGAGAUGGCCGAGCGGUCUAAGGCGCUGUGUUCAGGUUCCUCUGCUCUCGAGCAGGUGAGCUUCGCAGUCUUCGGGCGUGGGUUCGAAUCCCACUCUUGUCA